rnacentral:tRNA from 1 species
GCGCUGUUAGCUCAGUUGGUUAGAGUAUCACCUUGACAUGGUGGGGGUCGUAGAUUCGAAUUCUACACAGCGCACCA